CAGGUUUACCUGUGUGACUGCGUACCUUUUGUAUAAUGGGUCAGCGACUUAUAUUCUGUAGCAAGGUUAACCGUAUAGGGGAGCCGUAGGGAAACCGAGUCUUAACCGGGCGUUAAGUUGCAGGGUAUAGACCCGAAACCCGGUGAUCUAGCCAUGGGCAGGUUGAAGGUUGGGUAACACUAACUGGAGGACCGAACCGACUAAUGUUGAAAAAUUAGCGGAUGACCUGUGGCUGGGGGUGAAAGGCCAAUCAAACCGGGAGAUAGCUGGUUCUCCCCGAAAGCUAUUUAGGUAGCGCCUCGUGAAUUCAUCUCCGGGGGUAGAGCACUGUUUCGGCUAGGGGGCCAUCCCGGCUUACCAACCCGAUGCAAACUGCGAAUACCGGAGAAUGUUAUCACGGGAGACACACGGCGGGUGCUAACGUCCGUCGUGAAGAGGGAAACAACCCAGACCGCCAGCUAAGGUCCCAAAGUCAUGGUUAAGUGGGAAACGAUGUGGGAAGGCCCAGACAGCCAGGAUGUUGGCUUAGAAGCAGCCAUCAUUUAAAGAAAGCGUAAUAGCUCACUGGUCGAGUCGGCCUGCGCGGAAGAUGUAACGGGGCUAAACCAUGCACCGAAGCUGCGGCAGCGACGCUGAUGCGUUGUUGGGUAGGGGAGCGUUCUGUAAGCCUGUGAAGGUGGCCUGUGAGGGUUGCUGGAGGUAUCAGAAGUGCGAAUGCUGACAUAAGUAACGAUAAAGCGGGUGAAAAGCCCGCUCGCCGGAAGACCAAGGGUUCCUGUCCAACGUUAAUCGGGGCAGGGUGAGUCGACCCCUAAGGCGAGGCCGAAAGGCGUAGUCGAUGGGAAACGGGUUAAUAUUCCCGUACUUGGUGUUACUGCGAAGGGGGGACGGAGAAGGCUAUGUUGGCCGGGCGACGGUUGUCCCGGUUUAAGCGUGUAGGUGUGUGUUCCAGGUAAAUCCGGUUCACUUUAACACUGAGGCGUGAUGACGAGGCACUACGGUGCUGAAGCAACAAAUGCCCUGCUUCCAGGAAAAGCCUCUAAGCAUCAGGUAACAUCAAAUCGUACCCCAAACCGACACAGGUGGUCAGGUAGAGAAUACCAAGGCGCUUGAGAGAACUCGGGUGAAGGAACUAGGCAAAAUGGUGCCGUAACUUCGGGAGAAGGCACGCUGACACGUAGGUGAAGUGAUUUACUCAUGGAGCUGAAGUCAGUCGAAGAUACCAGCUGGCUGCAACUGUUUAUUAAAAACACAGCACUGUGCAAACACGAAAGUGGACGUAUACGGUGUGACGCCUGCCCGGUGCCGGAAGGUUAAUUGAUGGGGUCAGCGCAAGCGAAGCUCCUGAUCGAAGCCCCGGUAAACGGCGGCCGUAACUAUAACGGUCCUAAGGUAGCGAAAUUCCUUGUCGGGUAAGUUCCGACCUGCACGAAUGGCGUAAUGAUGGCCAGGCUGUCUCCACCCGAGACUCAGUGAAAUUGAACUCGCUGUGAAGAUGCAGUGUACCCGCGGCAAGACGGA
rnacentral:rRNA from 1 species